rnacentral:rRNA from 1 species
UACAGAGGGUGCAAGCGUUAAUCGGAGUUACUGGGCGUAAAGGGCGCGUAGGCGGUUAUAUGAGUGUGAUGUGAAAUCCCCGGGCUUAACCUGGGAAGUGCAUCGCAAACGAUAUGACUGGAGUACAAGAGAGGGUGGCGGAAUUUCCGGUGUAGCGGUGAAAUGCGUAGAGAUCGGAAGGAACGUCAAUGGCGAAGGCAGCCACCUGGCUUGAUACUGACGCUGAAGCGCGAAAGCGUGGGGAGCGAAC